rnacentral:rRNA from 1 species
CCUACGGGAGGCAGCAGUGAGGAAUAUUGGUCAAUGGACGAGAGUCUGAACCAGCCAAGUAGCGUGAAGGAUGACUGCCCUAUGGGUUGUAAACUUCUUUUAUAUGGGAAUAAAAUGUUCCACGUGUGGGAUUUUGUAUGUACCAUAUGAAUAAGGAACGGCUAAAUCCGUGACAGCAGCCGCGGUAAUACGGAGGCUCCGAGCGUUAUCCGGAUUUACUGGGCUUAACAGGAGCGUAGGUGGAUUGUUAAGUCAGGUGUGAAAGUUUGCGGCUCAACCGGAAAAUUGCAGUUGAAACUGGCAGUCUUGAGUACAGUAGAGGUGGGCGGAAUGCGUGGUGUAGCGGUGAAAUGCUUAGAUAUCUCGAAGAACUCCGAUUGCGAAGGCAGCUCACUGGACUGCAACUGACACUGAGGCUCGAAAGUGUGGGUAUCAAACAGGAUUAGAUACCCUAGUAGUC